AUUGAACGCUGGCGGCAGGCCUAACACAUGCAAGUCGAACGAGUGGCGGACGGGUGAGUAAGGUCUGGGAAACUGCCCGAUGGAGGGGGAUAACUACGGGAAACGGUAGCUAAUACCGCAUACCAUCGGAUGUGCCCAAAUGGGAUUAGCUAGUAGGUGGGGUAACGGCUCACCGAGGCGACGAGCCCUAGCUGGUCUGAGAGGAUGACCCGCCACACUCGCACUGAGGCACGGUCCAGACUCCUACGGGAGGCAGCAGUGGGUAAUAUUGCACAAUGGGCGCAAGCCUUCUGCAGCCAUGCCGCGUGUAUGAUGAAGGCCUUCGGGUUUUAAAGUACUUUCAGCGAGGAGGCGUUACUCGCCGAAGAAGCACCGGCUAACUCCGUGCCAGCAGCCGCGGUAAUUC
rnacentral:rRNA from 1 species